AGGUGCUUGGGAUAGGACUAAGGGCACCUAAUCCCAUGUUUUCUUUCGUUUGGUUCCCGCUCCCGCACGCGAGAUUGCUAAUACCAAGACUAAAUUUUUCCACAUAUGGGGGGUGGGUGUGUUGGGACUGUUAAUCCGGGAUAAAAGAAACGCGGAAAGGAACUUCGCGAGAAUUGCAAAAUUGCAACUCGUAUAAAACCCUCUCUUUCACUCUUCUUCUUCUUGCUCUCUACACCAGAGCAGCUCUGAGGCGAUUUGACAACUUCGCCAUUCUCUCAAAAUUUCUCUUGAACCUGGUACUCUCUCUCUCUCUCUCUCUCCCCUUUGUUUUCGUUUGAGAAACCUGGUACUUCCGAAAUUGAAUCGAACUUGGUACUUCUGAAUCUGUUUCUGAAACCCUAGAUCUGUUUCUAAACCUUAGAAUUUGUUUUCAUUUUUAGUGAUAGAACCAGUUUCUAAACCCUAGAACAUGUUUCAUUUUUACAUAUUUGUGUUCUACCCACUUGAUCAAAUUGAAAAGAAAACACUUGAUCAAACAGAGUUUGGAUUGAAACUAAGAAAUUGAGGUAUUGAUGACUAAAAGCUGAAAGGGUCUAACUGAAGUGGCUUAAAAUUUAAUAAAAUUCAGAUUAAAAAGAGGAGAAAGAUCUCAUCUUGACUUGUAAGUCUGAUUCCUAAUACAAGUAUGUUGAUGAUGCUUGCCACAAGGCAUCUUUCAUGCAUUUUGCAAUGGUGGUUUUGCCUGAAUGUAUUCAGUUUAAAACAUGGAGGAAGACUUACAUGAGUUCUCUUUAAAAGUAACGCCAUGAGUUAGCCCAAAGAUUAUUAUUGUGCUGCAUUACUGUAUGUUUUUCAAAUAUUGAUCGCAGUUGUCUUUGUAUGAAUUCUACAACAGUACUAAAUUUGUUCCCAGUCAGCUCUUGGAACUCGAUAUGAUUGGAAACUUGGAAGCAAGCUUGGAAGCUUUUUGGCUCUUGCGUCUGUUGUUGGAUGAUUCUGGGGGUAGUCAUUGUGGUGUUCUGUUUUGUAGUUAGUUUGGUGUUCUAUUGUGUGUCCUGCUAGUGUGUUUGAGCUCCUGUUGUUGGUGAUCCUUGGACUUGUGUCUUGAGUCUGUCUCGUGAUAUUUUGGAGCCUCGUUGGCUCUCUGAUAAUCUGGGUGAUUCAAAUACUGUGGGGACGAUUCAAAAUGUUGAGAGGAACCAAGAAUGGUUCUGAAUCAGGUCGACUAAUGCUUGGAAUCUUUGGAGAACUGGGAAAGGCUGAUUCUGUUGAUGAUGUUGAAGAUUAGAUGGCAUGGGAUGGGGACUGUAUCUAGAUGCAAACAUGGCAAAAAGGGCUACAGAUGUAUAUCUUGGGUAACGAGGGCCCGAGAUUUCCACUUGGCUUUUUUCAGAUGGAUUUGAGGGAUGCAAGCUGCUCUAAUUAUGCUGCAUCUUAAGGCUUCAUUGGUUUUACUUUGUGUAAUGGUUACACUCUCUAGGGCCUGCCCUAGGUUGCUUUGAUUCUGUUGUAGUUUGGUUGGAACCUUUCCAACCAUUUUACUUUUGGGUUUGGUCAGGUAUGUUAACCAUGUAAAUAACCAAUUGCAUUGUAUGUCAACCAUUGGUUAGGUAUGUUAACCAUGACUGUGAGGAAUUUUUUUGAUAAUGCACAGGUUAUGUCAACUCAA